UCUCUCGAUCUUCAAAGUUAAGGAACACAUACCGUUGUCAUAACACGGACAGCUGAUUACUACAGAUCAAAAACAUUUCUUUGACGGAUUAGUUUACUUAAAGUGACCUCUAUAGUACAAUAUCAAAAAAUUUAAAAUUUUGCUAGAAAUUACCACAAAUUUACUAAAGCAUCUUUCUUCGUAAAUUUUGUAAUAUAUUUUCAGUCUUUUAAAGUAGAUUUUCAUAAGGAAUCAAUCAUAUUGUCAUCUGUACACCAAUGAAUAUUCAUAGGCCCUCAUAUUAUUAGUUACAAUUCAUCUUGUCAACAACAUUUUCGAUAUAAACAUAUUUGUAUUCGUUAUUAUUGCCACGUGUAUUAUUUCUGGUUAUACAUCUAUAUAUAAACAUUCCUGUUACACUCUGGGAACUCGUCGAGUUUCGCGCAUUAUUUCGAAAUAAAUAUUACAAACAAAAUACUCGUAAAUGACAGUUACUAAAACGUGUUGCGGUCGAAUUAAAGAAAUUAGUAGAUUUUGUGGGGCCAUACAUAGAAGCACCAGGAGAGACAUAAAUGUUCACAUUUGGAAAUCUGCAAAGUUAUAGCAACUGCAAUAACGGACAAAUACUUUUGGGUCACAUACCGCAACCCGGAAGAAUGGAUAGAAUUACGAAAAGAAAUUUUACAAAAAAUACUAACUACUCUAUCACGCUGCGCAUACCAAUAUGAAACGGAGAUGAUAAUGUGCGCAAAAUUGUGUUACAUGUGUUUUCUACAGGGAAACAUAAGGCUCUGCAGUACUUACUAUUCAGCCAAUUUUUGUGAUGAUCACCAAAUACUGUUUAAUCUAUUUCAUAAAAAAUACUGCGAUGAGUUGAUGUUACUGAACACGAGUAUCGUCUAUAUUAACGGCUGUAUGAAAGAGACAGUCGAAUGUCGAUACGGACAAAAGUUCAUCUCAUUUCCUGAUGAGAAACCUUAUCAUGACAUUAUUAUAUUUCUUAAUUUUUAUAUACCCACAAAAGAUACAUAUUUUAGUAUAAUAUUAAAAUUUCCUUAUUCAACUCAGCACUGGACAUGUGAACAUUAUAAAUGUUCUGCAUAUGUAUCCGGUCCGAUGACAUUAUACUACGCAUUGCAGGAAUCAAACUUAUUAUCACUUCCACGCAUUGUACGUAAAUACAUCGUUCAUGUUAUAGAUGCAAUUAGAAUAGAUGGAAUGUAUUUGCAAAUUUGGCAUAUUUUGUUACAUAUUAAAAAAAAAAUAAAACAGCUGUAUAUUGUAUUUAUCAAUUCGCCAAUGUUCGAAUCCAAAGAUCUAGGGUUUAUGUGUUCUACGUGCAAUAACUAUAAUCAGAAACUUUAUGUUAAAUAUGUAUCAGAGCAAUACCACAAUUAUGUACGCUCAGAUUUAUAUGGGUAACCAAAUGUGAUUGUACUAGUUGAAAUAGAUGCUUUACUUCUAGGAAAAUGGUUCAAGUCUAUAACAGCAAUAAUAGCACAAGAGUGUCCGUUGUUUUUAACCGCCCAUUCGGAAAAUAUAGCGCAAGAGAGUGUAGAUAAGGUAGAAGAUGUGACAGGUGCAACCAGAAUUCGAAUAUACAGGAAAAAUAAAUUCGUCGGUUGUCCACCAUAUAGAAACUAUGUAACUGGAGGAUGUUAUUACCGAAAUACGCAUUUUAUUAUGUAUUCAUGAAUUUAAAUCACAUAACCCAUCCAUUCAAGAAAGUAAUGUAUUGUUUUAUCUUAAUUUCAUUUCAAUACAGAUGUGAUGGCACUCAUUACUUAAUAAAAUUUAGGAAUAAAUAUUAAUUUUCUUACUGAGAGAUACAUUUAGACACAAAUCAAUAGUAUUUUAUAUCUUACUUUUUCAGAAUAGGUAAAACAUAUUAUAUAAAAGAUAAUAGAAUGGUUGUCGCAUACAUAAUUUCUUAAAAUUUUACACUUUGCCGCACGCUAUUCUAUAAUUGGGUAUUAUAUACAGCUACGAUCAUUCUUUACUGAGUUAUGUACGAUUAUCUUGUAAAUUUCUCCAGUAUCGUCCGCGUGUUCUGCAAAUGAUAUGUGAUAGGAAUAAUUGUAAUACAUUUUAUAUAAGUUUUAUUUUUAUGUUGUAUCAUGUAAUAAACAUAAUUCGUUGCA